rnacentral:lncRNA from 1 species
AAUUAAGAAAUUAUUCUUUUGGGACUUGCAAACCAAGAGAUACGUAUAUUUUGAAAAAAGAUGCAUGUUAUGACUUUAUUCUUCAAAACGUGGCUCAAAAUACUUCUCAAGCUUGGUUUUAUGAUAGAAGUGUGGUUUGGGAAAAGGUAAUCAUAACUUACAAAAACAAAUAAGAAAAAAAGGUCAGGAAAAGGGACUGACAGGUACCCAAGGGCAGGGUGGGGUGGAGGGAGCAAGAAUUAGACCAGAGCGCAGCUCUAGCUAGAAACAGUGCCUCUCCCAAAGUGGGUCUGCCACUGUAGCCAACGCAGCGCUUCUGGAAAGCUCAUCUACAAAACUCCCAGGGCAGGGCGGGCAGGGCAGGGGUUGGCAAGACUCCUAAAGAACAACACAAAGGAGUAUAUUCUCAAGAGGUGAUGGUCUUGACGGGGAAAGUAGUGUCUCUUUUCCUCUUUCCAAGCUUCAAGCCUCCACUUUUUUCCUUCUGUCUCCACCUAGCCCCAGUACUGGGGACAAAUCAAGUUAAGGUCAAGCCAGCCGCCAAGGUUCACCGAGGACGCAGGCAGCAAGACUUUGUUUCUAGUUGCGGGGAUCUUCCCCUCGCGUGUAGUCUCCACGGCAAACUGCGCCCGACUCAGCCCGUUUCACCUCACUCCUGAGCACUCGGAGCCGGGUCGCGGGGCAGGAACAGCCGACCGCGGCGUGGGCACCCGAGGGGCGCACCCAGCUCUCGCCUUUCACUCGCGGGCUCCCCUGUCCCUCUGGCCGGCCGGGCCGCACCGGAGCCACCCUGCGCCCGCUUCUAGAUGGCGCCCGUCGCAUGCCGCGCCCGCUCUCCUCGCUGGCUGACCGCUUCUCGCUCGGAGUUCAAGAUUCCCGCCGCUACAAUCGCGCCACAGCCUCACCCCAUCUCGUCGUUUGUUUUUUUUAACUUUCUUUAGCGCUAAACUCCGUCGCUACAAAGCUCUGUUCUCAGUCGGCUCCGCCAGGGGGUUCAGCGAGGAACCCGAGGUCUGGAGACGCCCCGGCGGGGCGGGGCGGGGGCGGGGCGCAGCCACCUCCCUCACCGGGGAGCCCGGCUUGGCCCCACCCCAGCCGCUGCCAUCCUCGGGGUCGGUGCCAGGCAACUCAGCCGAGACGCGCUGGCUCGCGAUGGCGACCGGGAGACACCCGGCGAGGGGAGGCGGGGUCGGGGAGGCGCGGAGCGCACGGAGGCGGAGGCUGGCAGGGGGCGCUGGAGGCUGGGGCGGUCGGCGCGCUCUCCGCGCCCGAGGGAGCCAGAGGCUCUAAAGCGGCGGUUGGACCGGCGGCCCCCGGCGGCUGCUGGGCCGUGGGGGAGCGGCUCCUGAGCCCCUUUGUUCUCGCGCAAGGCGCCUCGCCGCCCACUCCCCUGCUGUCGCGCGGCGGCGGCGGCUCCUCUCGCGCGGGG